rnacentral:lncRNA from 1 species
AGGGUGCUUGGUAAGGUAGUUUAAAAUUUUGAAGGGUUUAGAGCCAGCAAUGGGUAAAGGGAUAGCAAGGUUAAGUAGGCAAGGAGUGUGGUCUGAAAACUCAGGGGCCAUGAAUACUGCAGAGCUAUUAGGAUAAGCAGAGAUCCACUCAUAGUUUACAAGGGCCCUGUCCAAUUUCUUCGCUAUUGGAUCAGCAGGUUACUUAUUAGACCAAGUGUUGAGAAUGCCUUGAUAACGAAGAUCAAACAGUCCAGUUUGCAUGAGUGUGUCUCUAAAGUCGAUCAUGUCAGAGCUAAUCGCUUGAACUGAUGCGGAGGAGUGCUCUGAUGGAUUAGCAAUUUGGUUGAAGUCACCAGCAACCAACCAAGGUCUCAAGUCAAGAGAGAGACCUUGUUGAAGAU